rnacentral:rRNA from 1 species
AACGUAGGACGCAAGCGUUAUCCGGAGUUACUGGGCGUAAAGCGCGGGCAGGCGGUCUUGCCAGUCUGAUGUAAAAUCUCUCAGCUCAACUGGGAGCAGCCAUUGGAAACUACAAGACUGGAGUCUGGCAGAGGUAGGCGGAAUUCCGGGUGGAGUGGUGAAAUGCGUAGAGAUCCGGAGGAACACCAGAGGCGAAGGCGGCCUACUGGGCCAGUACUGACGCUGAGCCGCGAAAGCCAGGGGAGCGAACGGG